CCCCUAGAUGUUCUGGGCCGCACGCGCGCUACACUGAACAGUUCAACAAGUCUUAACCUUGGCCGAUAGGUCUGGGUAAUCUUUGAACGCUGUUCGUGAUUGGGAUAGACCUUUGCAAUUAUGGGUCUUCAACGAGGAAUUCCUAGUAAACGCAAGUCAUCAGCUUGCAUUGAUUACGUCCCUGCCCUUUGUACACACCGCCCGUCGCACCUACCGAUUGAGUGGUCCGGUGAGAUGUCAAGAGAUUAAAAUAUUAGCUUGCUAACAUUUUGAUCAAAUCUCAUCAAACCUUACCACUUAGAGGAAGGUGAAGUCGUAACA
rnacentral:rRNA from 1 species